GUCUAUGGCCAUGACACCCUGAACAAGCCCGAUCCCGUCUGAUCUCGGAAGCUAAGCAGGGUCGGGCCUGGUUAGUCCUUAAAUGGGAAACCACCUAGGAAGACCAGAUGCUGUAGGAG
rnacentral:rRNA from 1 species